rnacentral:rRNA from 1 species
AGAGUUUGAUCAUGGCUCAGGAUGAACGCUGGCGGCGUGCCUAAGGUAUGCAAGUCGAAUGCUAAUAGCAAUAUUGGCAUGGCAGACGGCUGAGUAACGCGUUGGAACCUACCCCUUAGUCAAGGAUAACCCUCCGAAAGGAGGAACAAUCCUGGAUGUACUCUUCGGAGCAAAGGCUUCGGUCGCUAAGGGAAGGGCCUGCGUCUUAUCAGGUAGUUGGUGGGGUAAUUGCUCACCAAGCCUAUGACGGGUAGCUGGUCUGAGAGGAUGGUCAGCCAGACUGGGACUGUGACACGGCCCAGACUCCUACGGGAGGCAGCAAUUAGGAAUCUUGCGCAAUGGGCGAAAGCCUGACGCAGCGACGCCGCGUGGUGGAUGAAGGCCUUCGGGUUGUAAACACCUUUUAUAGUGGAACAAGUUCUGAGUGUACACUAUGAAUAAGCACCUUCCAACUACGUGCCAGAAGAAUCGGUGAUGCGUAGGGUGCAAGCGUUAUCCGGAUUUACUGGGCGUAAAGAGAAGCGUAGGCGUCUUAGUAAGUCUUCAGUGCAAUCUUUCAGCUUAACUGGAAAACUGCUGAGGAAACUACUUUGAUUGAGGCAGACAGGGGAAAGGGGAAUUCCUGGUGGAGCGGUGAAAUGCGUUGAUAUCAGGAGGAAUACCAAUGGCGAAGGCACCUUUCUGGGUCUGUUCUGACGCUAAGGCUCGAAAGCGUGGGGAGCAAAACGGAUUAGAUACCCGUGUAGUCCACGCCCUAAACAAUCCCUACUAGAUAUUUG